rnacentral:rRNA from 1 species
AGCGCGAAGCCAACUUCAAGAUAAGAUUUCCCACCGCAAGGGUAAGACCCCAGAAAGACUAUCUGGUUGAUAGGUCGAAGGUGUAAGUGCAGCAAUGUAUUUAGCUUAUCGAUACUAAUAGGUCGAGGACUUGACCAA